UACGUAGGGUGCAAGCGUUGUCCGGAAUUAUUGGGCGUAAAGAGCUCGUAGGCGGUCUGUCGCGUCGGCUGUGAAAACCCGGAGCUCAACUCCGGGCCUGCAGUCGAUACGGGCAGACUGGAGUUCGGCAGGGGAGACUGGAAUUCCUGGUGUAGCGGUGAAAUGCGCAGAGUAUCAGGAGGAACACCGGUGGCGGAGGCGGGUCUCGUGGGCCGAUACUGACGCUGAGGAGCGAAAGCGUGGGGAGCGAACAGG
rnacentral:rRNA from 1 species